GCCCUUUCAUAACACGGCCAAACGCCCUAUAUUCACUCCUGUCCGCUUUGGCGGUCUAUGGUGAUAAACGUGCGUGUAAUAACCAGACCGGACCCGGGUGCGAUUCCCGGCGGCUCCACCAAUCCCUUUUUCCGCUGCGUUGGGCGGUGAUUAUGGGGCCGAUCAGGAUCGACGGAUGGGUAAAGACGUUGCUUUCACCCGCAUGGGCUCCGUUAUCAGCCCAUUGUUAAAGUUGCCAACGACAACUUUGCUGAAGAAGUGCGUCUCGCUGCGUAAGCAGUGCGAUCAUUUCGCAUCUUAAGUCCUCGGCUCUAGCAAGCCGCAGGCGGGGUUCGGGGGGCGCCUGGCAACAGAAGCCCCCCACU
rnacentral:tmRNA from 1 species